UCAUUCCCAUUCAGCCCAGGAGGAGGGCUCCGAUCGCCGGUCUAACUGCAUCAUAUCAGAGAGGAGGAAAUCAUUCAGGAGGGACAGGAAGUUAUGACAUAACACGCUUCUGUGGUAUCUCACAGCCGGGUUUCCUGUGUCGGAAUGCUACUUAUGAACCUGCUGGUUUGGCCCAGAGUUUCCAUGGAAUCAAACGAUGUCCCUAAGAAGCAAAAAGGAUGAAGGGAGGAGGAGGAAGAGCUGGCAGGAUGGAGGGCUGGAGCG